rnacentral:rRNA from 1 species
UACGGAGGAUGCGAGCGUUAUCCGGCUUUAUUGGGUUUAACGGGUGCGCAGGCGGCCUGUUAAGUCAGCGGUAAAAGCCCGGGGCUCAACCCCGGCGAGCCGUUGAAACUGGCGGGCUGGAGUUGGAGAGAAGUACGCGGAAUGCGCGGUGUAGCGGUGAAAUGCUUAGAUAUCGCGCAGAACUCCGAUCGCGAAGGCAGCCUACCGGCGCGCAACUGACGCUCAUGCACGAAAGCGUGGGUAUCGAACAGG